CCUGAGCUCUUGUGGUUGGAGUCAGCUCACUGAUUCUUCAACAAAUCCACAGUCUGUGCUUCAAUGGGCAUGUAUCACCACCUUGGACUUCAACUAAGAGAUGCUGUUGUUGGCAACAAAAUGUCUUGUCUCUCCAGGAUUGCGACAUCAUGACUGCUCCAAGACGACUCCACUGUGUGCUCUCUGCCAUCUGCUCAGCAUGUUCACUGCUGCAGAUGCUUCUAGAAGGCCAGUUUUCUUCUAUAGCUCCAACUAACCACAGCGUUCUUCAUCACAAUGCUCACCGGCCUUACCUGUGUAUGCAAUGGUCACAUUUACAGAGGAAGCACACAAGCUUCCGGAGUCACCUAAUCCCUCCAGACACCGUGCGUGCGCACAUUAUUGUUCUGGACCUCAGUCCCUUCCACUCUGCAGUGAGCAUGACCUUGCUGAUGUCCAAAGGGACAGUGUGAAUCUCAGCUGGAACCAUGAUACACCAUAUAUUAAACUAGCCAGAAGACAGUUUGUGACUAAAGAGAAACCGUAACAGUAACAGCAAUUAUCAACUGCAUACUCUGUGCCAGAUUCUGGGCCCAGUGCUUCAUUUACAAAGGAGGCAUCAAAUAGCCCAAAUCGGCCUCGUACUCUCUGUGUAGGAUGGCCCUGUGACACAAGUGGAGCAAGGCAUCUGAGGACACGUGACUCUGUUCUCGGGCCAUGGUCAGUCAUCUUUGGCUCCUGAAUAAACUAUCUUUUAUUC